AAAAUAUUGGCCACAUAUCUAUAACAAUAAAGGAGACUUUUCUCUCUCCUUAGGCCUCCACCUCAAAUUUUAGAAGGGGGCAAAUUGUGCCACCUGACAUCAAUUUUAUAGAACAUCAAAUUUUGUUUUUUUCGCUGAGUUAUGUUACGUAUUGUGUAAAUUAUGAUAUUUAUUGAGCCUAUAAAUGAUUUUUCAUACUGGCCCAAUUAUUUAGGGUUUGUUUCAAUUUGACGGAGGAGAUCAUAAGUCCAGUCGCCGUGUUCCUUCUGAUCUCACCAAAUCCUAACACCCUCUGUGAAACGGCUUCAGUUACUCUUUCAGAUACAUUAAUCCAAGCAUUCAUGUGGUUAGCACCACUUCUCCCACUCUCUCGCAUUAAAUCGCCAUUAGCAUCCAUCCGACUGAAGCUCCACCUAUAAAUGUGUUUGUUGUCUGCGAUGAAUAGUCCCACCGGUACGAAAUCCGUAAAGGUGGCUCUCUGUCAAACAUCAACUCCAACUAUGGUGAAUUCCGAUGAUUGAUAUUUCUGCAUGUGGGUUGAAGACCUUAGAUUGAUGCUUCACCACUGGUUCUGGCCACUGGAUUUUGUUACACUAAUUUAGGAUAUCAGGCUUCAUAGAUCGAUGAAUAUUGGUGAGUUAUACAUGAUUUGUCAAUCUAUAAAUAUGUUGAUCUCUAUUUUAAGGUUACAAAUAAUUUGGCUUUUCAUUUCAGUAUUCAUCGGUUCAUAAUAAGGAGUCAGCCAAAGGUUGUUAAUUGCUACAUGAGUAGACAAUAUUCUUGCCAAGAACACGAUGCUUAGAUAAAUUGAUAUUUAUGAAGGUAUUUGAUAUCUUCCUUUUGCUUGAUGGAGAUCUCAAAGCCAAUUUAAUUUUCUUUCUAAAUCUCACUCCCUAUGAUUCGCAUUGGUAUUUAGGCAGGAGAAGCUCAAUAAGCACUUGAAAAGGAAUAUAUUUUUAGAGCAGAGAGUGAAGUAAGAGAGGAAUUAUCACAAACACUUCAUCACAACGAGCUCUGUGUUUCUUUCUCUCUUCAUGGCAAUAAGGUCAACACACUUGGUUUGUCCAUUUUGCUUCCUCUAUUUUCACGAAUUUCAAUGUAAAUGUUUAUUUAUUAAUCCAAAAGAACUUACAAAUUUAUGUUUCUUUCUUUCGUAAAGGAGCAAACUUUAAUGGUGCUUCCUCUGUAUUCUUCAUAUCAUUGGCUAACGCAAAGAGUUUUCUUCACACUCACUGGCAUGUCGAUAAGUUACACUUACGUAUUUUUAUUUUGGCUCAAGUGUUGCACCUACAGGAGCUGACUUCUUUGUGAUAACUGCGUUUGAAUUUGCCUUGAUGUUAUAAUCUGUAUCAUACCCCAUGGUGAUUAUCAAAUUCCUCUCCUGACAUUCUUUUUCUUUUAUUUCAAAGAUGAGCCACAUAGGUCAGUUUUUUUUUCUUGUCUCUAUCUUCCUGUUUAGUUACAUUUUAUUUUGGAGCAGACGUAUAGUAUCAGCUCAUAGAACAUAUCUCUCUCGGUCUUCCUGUUAAGUUACAGCACUAUUGUCACAACAAUAGUUUCUAAUAAACACCAAUUAUGUGCAGUCAUUCUGUCUCAUAUAGUUUCUCAAGGACAAACUGAACUAAAUAUGUUGAAAAUUUUCGAUCUCAUGUUGACUUUCAAGCUUUUGGGCAUAGAAUUAGAUGUCAGUCACGCACCAGGAUUAAGUUAGGACCGUACAUGCAAGUGGAAAAGCUUAGUCUCCCUCAUGACAUGUUGCUCGCUGGUUAAUUAAAAGUCAAGGGUCUCACGUCCAUAAUGCAUGAAUUACAAGUUCUUAUAUCAACCGUUCUUAUAUCAACCGUCCCGCGGGCCGCCUGCUAUACCACAUAUAAAAGGUGAGCUCAAACGUCACGGGGGUAGUAGCAACAAGGAGAACUUAAGAUCUGAGUUGAGGUUGGUCUCUUCUUCUCUGUGUUUCAAAGUCUUUAGAUGUUGUUCCCAUGUAAUUUAUGCCAUUCAAACAUGUAAUAUAUUUAUUUUAAUUGGAAAAUGUUGUAAGAGACCUCCUUUUCGUAUGAGUAAUCUUUUGUUAUGGUUUAUUGUAAUAAAUACGAUUCAGCAUUUAGAAAAUACACCUUACCAACUUCGAGUGCUGUCUUUACGAUCAAUAUACAUCUGAUUGGUCAAAUUGAUAUAGUCACAACUUCAUCUUUUUUUUUGGGAAUCCUCACAACUUCUUAAUUUUGACAAAUUCAGAGCUAAAACAAACGGGCGGUUAAUAUGGCAGCUUUGAUUAUUUGAAAUGAUCACCAUAAGCAUCGCUCACCAAAUAUAAUUCCUUGAAAUCAACCUGGCAGAGUCCAAAGCAUCAAACUAUUAUAAUACCCAUACAAAGGAUUCAUAUAACCUAAGCAAAAAUCAUUUAUCAUCUCAUCUUUGGCUGCUGUUUAUGAACAAUGUUUUUCUCCAUUUAAAAGUUCGUCUCACAGCAAAGCUUCACUUUGAUUAAAGAUGUAUCAUCAGUUUUUUAACAUGUUGUCGUAUUGUUUACAGACAAGGAAAAAAAACACGUUUAAAAUCGGUUUUCAUGUUAAUCUGUGAUAUCAUUAACUGACUAUAAUCACUAAAAGAUACAGGUGUAAGUUAUUAUAGUAUAUGUGAUACAAAAAUCUUUGACUGACUAUAAUCACUAUAAUCACUGCGACAACAACAGGUCUUCUUAGAUAGUGUUUCAAAACAUGAUACUGAGUGAUUAGAGUAAGAAGACAAAGAAUUAUGAUAUAACUAAAGAUUUGGUUCUAGGUUUAUAUAUAAUGAUAAUUGUUAUUGACUACGAAGACACGCUCACAUGAACAUUGCAUUGAAGGCUUUUUUUUUUAAAGAAAAAAACACUUUCUAUGAACUAAGACAUUUUUCUUAAACCAUGUCACUGCUUUUAAUAAGUUAAGUUUGUCUAGCUAAUCAAUUACUACUCGGUUAUCAAUGUCAAGAAAUAUUUGGGACCACCAUAGUCAAAUUAGAAAAACAUUUAAAAAUUUAAAACAAAUUCAUUUGCAUGAAACACAUUAAUGGUCGAACAAGUAUAUAAUCUCUAAAUGGAAUAAUAAAACAGAUAGAAAUUCCUUGAAAAAAACAACAAAUAGUAAAAAUUUAAUACUAUUUUAAAUUAAAAUAAAUUAAAAUUUCAAAAGUUUGCUAAAUUUUAAAUAAUAUUUAUAUUAUUUGCUCAUUUGCUCACCCGCCUGUAGGUACUAUUUGGUACUUAAUAAAAAUAAAAAUUCAAAAAUUGUUCCGUCUAUAUACUGACCACAUGGUACUUAACCGUAUAAAUAUGUUCUUUAAAUAAAAUAUUAACUUUACUUUAUGUUUAAAUUUUAACUAAAUUAACCUUUUUACGAUUAUCGGCUUUUUAUUCACUUUUAUUAAAUCGAUUAGUUACAACUUAUGCUAUUCCACUUUGAACUAAUCUACUUCAAAACAAAGUAAUACCUUAUAGUCGCUAACCACUUAAAUAGAUCAGAAAAAAUAUCAUUCUCUUUCAACAUAUUUUCAUUUUCAUAUUUUCGAACAUACUCUAUUCACUAAGACCAUAAAAUAAAUUGUAAAUUCAUGUAAAAAUGAAACAUAUGAACCGGCGCGUAGCGCCGGAAUACCACUAGUCUAUUAAUAAUAUGUAAAUUUGUAUUCAGUUUCAAAAUGUUAUAUAUUUUAGAUUUUUCAUACAUUUUAAUAAAACACAUUAAUUUUGCACAGUUUUUUUGUGAUUAUUUUUUUCCAUAAUUUUAAGCCAAUAAAAAUCUAAUAAGUGCAAUUAAUUUUUUUUAAGUUUGUAAUUAGUUAAUAAAAUAUGCAUUGAAAAUACAAAAAAAUAGAUUUUUUUGAAACAAUUUUUUUUCUAGAAUAUGUGACUUUAUAAAACGGAGAGGGUAUAUUUUAAUAUUUUAAUUAAGGUAAAAAUAAAGCUUAAGGUUUAUGAUAAAUAAUAAUGUUUUAUUUGGCAAUUGUUUUUAGAAUUGUUGAAGACUAGUCGUUUCAACUUUUAUUUCUUUUGAGAAAAUCAUUAUAUUGGAUUCCACAUCUAUAGAUCCAAGUUGAAAGUUGACUAAUGUUAUACAACAGAGAAAACAAAGUAGUUUGGAAUUUGGAGUUUCAUCUAUGGCCUAACUCAAACAUGAAUAUUGCAUUAAGAAGCUUUAAAAGAAAGUUUCUUCAAAUUUUAAUUCUAUUAUAUUUUAUUUUAAAAUUGCAUUUGGUUGUAUUUUAUUAUUUUAUGUGUAAUGUUACAUUUUAUAUAAAAAAUUAAUAAUGUUUUU